rnacentral:rRNA from 1 species
UGCAAGUCGAACGGAAAGGCCACAGCUUGCUGUGGUACUCGAGUGGCGAACGGGUGAGUAACACGUGGGUGAUCUGCCCUGUACUUCGGGAUAAGCUUGGGAAACUGGGUCUAAUACCGGAUAGGAAUCACAUGUGGGUGUGUGGUUGGAAAGCUUUUGCGGUAUGGGAUGAGCUCGCGGCCUAUCAGCUUGUUGGUGGGGUAAUGGCCUACCAAGGCGUCGACGGGUAGCCGGCCUGAGAGGGUGUACGGCCACAUUGGGACUGAGAUACGGCCCAGACUCCUACGGGAGGCAGCAGUGGGGAAUAUUGCACAAUGGGCGCAAGCCUGAUGCAGCGACGCCGCGUGGGGGAUGACGGCCUUCGGGUUGUAAACUCCUUUCGUCAGGGACGAAGCGAAAGUGACGGUACCUGGAUAAGAAGCACCGGCUAACUACGUGCCAGCAGCCGCGGUAAUACGUAGGGUGCGAGCGUUGUCCGGAAUUACUGGGCGUAAAGAGCUCGUAGGUGGUUUGUCGCGUCGUUUGUGUAAGUCCACGGCUUAACUGUGGGAUGGCAGGCGAUACGGGCAUAACUUGAGUGCUGUAGGGGAGACUGGAAUUCCUGGUGUAGCGGUGAAAUGCGCAGAUAUCAGGAGGAACACCGAUGGCGAAGGCAGGUCUCUGGGCAGUAACUGACGCUGAGGAGCGAAAGCAUGGGUAGCGAACAGGAUUAGAUACCCUGGUAGUCCAUGCCGUAAACGGUGGGCGCUAGGUGUGAGUCCCUUCCACGGGGUUCGUGCCGUAGCUAACGCAUUAAGCGCCCCGCCUGGGGAGUACGGCCGCAAGGCUAAAACUCAAAGGAAUUGACGNNNNNNGNGNNGCUUACCAUGCAAGUCGAACGGAAAGGCCACAGCUUGCUGUGGUACUCGAGUGGCGAACGGGUGAGUAACACGUGGGUGAUCUGCCCUGUACUUCGGGAUAAGCUUGGGAAACUGGGUCUAAUACCGGAUAGGAAUCACAUGUGGGUGGGGGGUUGGAAAGCUUUUGCGGUAUGGGAUGAGCUCGCGGCCU